UUCCAUCCCAAAAGGGAUGGAAGGUAAAAAAUGAAUGAAAAAUGUUAGCAAAGUCAUUUAAGAAUGAAUAUGAUUAGAAUGCAUAUCUUUCUCACUGUACCCAGAACUCUCAAGAGCAAAUGGCAAAUGUAUUCCAGCCACUGGCAAGCAAAGAUUAGAUAAUCAAUCUCAGAGAAAUGAGAAAGGUUAAUAGAAGACCAUAAUAAGGAAAGAAAAUUAUCUCAUGAAUUCAAUUAGGAACUUUGAUAUCUAAGGCUAAAAGUAGAAACCAGAGAUUCAGAAGUACCUGGACAUGGAAUUGUAUGUCAUUGAAACAAGAAAAUAUAGAACAAAAAUGCUUUUUGGUAGAGAGAGGUCAGUUUUACAUAGGUGAAAGAGGGACAGAAGUAUUUAGUCCACUGAAAAAGUUUUUUUACUAUCUGGAUUGGAUGCUGUAGUAUUGCUGUAUUAAAGCUGAAUUGAACAUUUGUGAGUUUUCUACAGGGUGAUCAUCUGUCAAAGCCAGUCUCAAUGGUCAGGAAUACCCCCUCUUUUCCUUGUUUCACAAGGGGGUGCAUCCUCCAGUGAAUUCUACAGCCUUGGUUUUAACCUUGAUUAGUUAAAGAAGAUAAAUAGGCCUUCCUGAAGACAGAAGGAUAUCAUUCCCAUUUAAACAGUAUUAAAUUGUUUUCAGCCAAGAGCCCAGCCCCUUCACGGAUCAGCAACUGAGACCUCACGCCUGCAGAGCUAAGACCUACUCAUAUCAAUCAAAAGUCAUGGGGAAUGGAGCCUUCACCCUACUCCUGGACACUGAAGUACUUGCCGCAUUAGAGGGAGUAUGAAAGGUGAUUAUUGUUUAAAAGAGCUGGGAUUAAAUUACUGCUGUAGGAU